rnacentral:lncRNA from 1 species
UUGACACUCUUCCUCUUUGCCUUUCGAGGUGAUAAACCUUGGCAGUUCAGUUCUUUGCCUUCAGAAUCAUAAAUUCUGGUAGUGAUUCAUUGCCUAGCAAGUUGUGAACCUUGGCGCUCAUUUUUCUGCCUCGAAGGGUUGUGUACCCUAGCAAUCUUAUAUCUUCCUUUGUUUCAACCGUAAUAGGUUGAACUACGAUUGCUCUGAUUUUCUCAUUGCACGAUGAGAAUACGUAGACACGAGGGUUCAAAUUCUC